CCUACGGGUGGCAGCAGUGAGGAAUAUUGGUCAAUGGACGAGAGUCUGAACCAGCCAAGUAGCGUGAAGGAUGACUGCCCUAUGGGUUGUAAACUUCUUUUAUAUGGGGAUAAAACGUUCCACGUGUGGGAUUUUGUAUGUACCAUAUGAAUAAGGAUCGGCUAACUCCGUGCCAGCAGCCGCGGUAAUACGGAGGAUCCGAGCGUUAUCCGGAUUUAUUGGGUUUAAAGGGAGCGUAGGUGGAUUGUUAAGUCAGUUGUGAAAGUUUGCGGCUCAACCGUAAAAUUGCAGUUGAAACUGGCAGUCUUGAGUACAGUAGAGGUGGGCGGAAUGCGUGGUGUAGCGGUGAAAUGCUUAGAUAUCACGAAGAACUCCGAUUGCGAAGGCAGUUCACUGGACUGCAACUGACACUGAGGCUCGAAAGUGUGGGUAUCAAACAGGAUUAGAUACCCUGGUAGUC
rnacentral:rRNA from 1 species